UUCAUGCUGAGAGUACGUUCUUUCUUUCUCCUUUUUCUCAAUCCUACCCUUUUCUAGGAACUGGGUACGGCCCGUGUCCUCCCCCGAGGCUGGGCAGGGACGUCAGCCCCAGGCCGAGCUCGCCUUCAGUGUUCAGCUCGGAGACUGACAGAUAAUAACACUUCCUGCAGGCGUCCAGCACUUCAACUAGCGCAUCCGGCCAGAUAGAUGGGAAUCCAGCCUUGAUUAAGGGUGGGGCUAUGCUCUUGAUUUCUUGGUAUCUCACGAUGAAAUGAGAGAGUGUGGGCCACCAAGGACGCUUUUCCCUCGCCCGGUUAACUGUUCAGCAGAAAUCUGUGGAGCAUCUAAUCGCGGCACGAACUUCCAGAGAGAGCCAGGCCCUGAACGUCGCCACCCUGGCUCCGUCCCUCUCAGACCCUGCAGUCACGCCUCUAGAAGUAAUUUUCCCCCAAACCUGCUCAGAGCUGCUCUCCUGAAAAAGGAAACAUUUUUCUCCCCUUCCAGGGACAGCCCCAUCCCGCCAGAUUUCUCAGAAGAGUAUUGGGCUCCUGACCCACUCCUCGCCCGCCUGGGUGCAGGCCUGUCCGGCCCCUCUGAGGCCGGCUUCCGCCCAGCAUCCCUCCCCAAGGUCACCAGUGACCCCGCUGCCGAGCCCCAGCAGUCUCUUCUGGUCUUCACCGCAUCAGCUCUGGGGCUUUUGUGGAGGCUCUUGCAGCCCUUGCUUCUGGAAUUUCUUGGUUCCUGUAAAGCUGCUCCUCCGUGGGUCCCCUCCCUCCCGGACCUCGGCUUCUCCUGGUCUCUCCUCCCUCCUCCGCAGUAAGUGCCCUAUGUCAGUGGAUGGAAAGGCAACACCAACGGGGCCAGGAAGGCAAACAAAAUGAUGGAAGUGGCUGACUGCGCGCUUCAGACACAAACACACGUUGGUUGUUACAUAGUAACAGUAGAUGACACCUGGGGACUAUUUAACAAGUGCCCACGGCUGCUGUGAGCACUUUACCAUGUGUUACUUCUCAUAACAAUGCUUUGAGGUGGCUACUAUUAUUACUGCCAUUUUCCAGAUAGGAAGCCAGGCGCAGAGAGGUUGAGUAACUUGCCUGAGGUCAUACAGCUUGACGUGGCAGAGCCCCAGUUUGAACCCAGGGCCUCUGGCUCCAGAGUGUGUGAGCAGGAUGCCCCUUCGCCCCAACCUAGACGCUCCCUUCUCCUCACCACGCCCAUUUUGCCAAAUCAUAGGCAUUUACCAGUAAUUUUUCCCCAGUGUCUUAAGCAGACAAUAUGUUAAUCUCCUUGCAGGAUCUGGUGGUAGAAAUCCUGCCCCUUUGGACAAUUCGCUAAAAUUUGCAGUGUAUGGACCCUCUGACGCAGCCAUUUCCUCCUGGGUUACUGUUGUAGAGAAACACUGUGUCCAAGGGGACAAGCAGGAUGUUCGUGACAGCAGUGCUCCUAAUAAUGGAAAAUCGGAAGCAACCUGAGGGUCCACCCACAGAGGAAUGAAAAAGAAAUCUUGCCUAUUUCUAUCACAGAUUACGUGCAGCAGGGUCAAGAAGGAAAUAGAUCUGUUAGUGGCGACUAGUGGCGACAUGGAAAGACCUGUGACUUACGUUACAGAGGGGAAGAAAGCAAGUUGCAGAGUGAUACCCACGCUAUUCCUGCAUUCCACAGAUAUUUUUGGGGCUUCUGCUCCACAACUGACACUGUUCUAGACACUGGGAAUACAGCAGUGAACAAAACGCGCUCCCUACCCUGGCUGAGCUGACGUCCCACCAGGGGGAGGGCAGAGGCAGGAAUAAAUGGUGAUCCGGAAGCUGAGGCCGAAGAGAUGAAGUCACGCAGCCAGUGAGGGGCCCAGAGGAGAUCUGACUUCAUCUCUUCAUAAUUUCCACAUCAGCUCUGUGCUGGAGCGAGAGAACACACCCACGUGGGAAUGAUUUCACGCUCCAGAAAGAACGCUACAAAUUGGUUGAGAGGCGUAGAAGAGGAAUUUUCUACCUAAAGGCUGCAGGAAUCCACUGGCGGGAUAGAAAUGUGAUUAGAAGACGAGCUUGGGAAGGGGGCCUUCAAAUCGUGCCUGCAGCAUCUGAGCGUCUCGUCAGGGAAUAAGGAACUGCCUGUCUGAUGUUUCCAAGCAGCACAAACUUCUUCCCCACAGCUGUGAAACUUAUGCAACAGAAACGAAACGGUAUUUCCCACUAUUUGCAAAUUGUUGUGUCAGCAGGUGACGUGGCUGUCAUGGCAACCAUCUUGUGACUCUGAGGCCCCAAACCUUAGAAGAGCCACUCUGAUGAGGACAGAAGGGUCAAGGCGCCUUGGUCCUUGAGGAUGUCACCAAGUCCUGAACCAGCCAGAGGAGCCAACGUCCCCUGGACCUCUUGUGAAAUAAACC
rnacentral:lncRNA from 1 species